AGAAUGCUGUUGUACAACUGACUAGGUAACCCCCUUUCCCUUUCUCUAUAACCAGUAGAAUGCUGUUGUACAACUGACUAGGUAACCCCCUUUCCCUUUCUCUAUAACCAGUAGAAUGCUGUUGUACAACUGACUAGGUAUCCCCCUUUCCCUUUCUCUAUAACCUAGUAGCAGAAUGCUGUUGUACAACUGACUAGGUAACCCCCUUUCCCUUUCUCUAUAACCUAGUAGCAGAAUGCUGUUGUACAACUGACUAGGUAACCCCCUUUCCCUUUCUCUAUAACCAGCAGAAUGCUGUUGUACAACUGACUAGGUAACCCCCUUUCCCUUUCUCUAUAACCAGCAGAAUGCUGUUGUACAACUGACUAGGUAUCCCCCUUUCCCUUUCUCUAUAACCAGCAGAAUGCUGUUGUACAACUGACUAGGUAACCCCCUUUCCCUUUCUCUAUAACCAGUAGAAUGCUGUUG